UGAUUUGGAAACUAACUGUUUCGGAGAGAGUGGAAAGUUUUAUAUGGUUGCUUAAGCAUGACAGAAUGCUAACCAAUUACAAUAAAAGCAGAAAAUGAAUGGGGUCUUACAUGUGUGACUUAUGUGGGCAUGUUUGUGAAUCUAUCAUGCAUGCAGUAAAUGGAGUAGUUAUUAGGUUAUGGAGUGAUAUUCUUUGUGGACUUGGCAUAAUAAAGAAGAGCACGAUGAUUUGUUUAUGAGACUGCUUGAUCUGGGACCUUG
rnacentral:lncRNA from 1 species